CCUUCGGGCGCCGACGAGUGGCGGACGGGUGAGUAACGCGUAGGAAUCUGCCUCAUAGUGGGGGACAACGUGGGGAAACUCACGCUAAUACCGCAUACGCCCUACGGGGGAAAGCGGGGGCUCUUCGGACCUCGCGCUAUGAGAUGAGCCUGCGUUAGAUUAGCUAGUUGGUGGGGUAAAGGCCUACCAAGGCGACGAUCUAUAGCUGGUCUGAGAGGACGAUCAGCCACACUGGGACUGAGACACGGCCCAGACUCCUACGGGAGGCAGCAGUGGGGAAUAUUGGACAAUGGGCGCAAGCCUGAUCCAGCAAUACCGCGUGUGUGAAGAAGGCCCUAGGGUUGUAAAGCACUUUCAAUUGGGAGGAAAACCUGCUGGUUAAUACCCGGUAGCUUGACAUUACCAAUAGAAGAAGCACCGGCUAACUCCGUGCCAGCAGCCGCGGUAAUACGGAGGGUGCGAGCGUUAAUCGGAAUUACUGGGCGUAAAGCGUGCGUAGGUGGUUCGUUAAGUCAGAUGUGAAAGCCCCGGGCUUAACCUGGGAACGGCAUUUGAAACUGGCGGACUAGAGUUGAGUAGAGGGGAGUGGAAUUUCAGGUGUAGCGGUGAAAUGCGUAGAUAUCUGAAGGAACACCAGUGGCGAAGGCGACUCCCUGGACUCAAACUGACGCUGAGGCACGAAAGCGUGGGUAGCAAACAGGAUUAGAUACCCUGGUAGUCCACGCCGUAAACGAUGUCAACUAGCCGUUGGGCCUAUUUAUAGGCUUAGUGGCGCAGCUAACGCAUUAAGUUGACCGCCUGGGGAGUACGGCCGCAAGGUUAAAACUCAAAUGAAUUGACGGGGGCCCGCACAAGCGGUGGAGCAUGUGGUUUAAUUCGAUGCAACGCGAAGAACCUUACCUACCCUUGACAUCCAUGGAAUC
rnacentral:rRNA from 1 species